UGCCGGGGUGGCGGAAUAGGCAGACGCACAGGACUUAAAAUCCUGCGAGGGUUAACCUCGUACCGGUUCGACCCCGGUCCUCGGCAU
rnacentral:tRNA from 1 species